rnacentral:rRNA from 1 species
GACAGAGGCCUCGAGCGUUAGGCGGAAUCACUGGGCUUAAAGCGUGUGUAGGCGGGCCCGUAAGUGUCUUGUGAAAUCCCACGGCUCAACCGCGGAACUGCUGGGCAUACUGCGGGUCUUGGGCCAACUAGGGGCAGCCGGAACAAGCGGUGGAGCGGUGAAAUGCGUAGAUAUCGCUUGGAACGCCGAAGGUGAAAACAGGCUGCUGGGGUUGCGCCGACGCUGAGACACGAAAGCCAGGGGAGCAAACGGG